rnacentral:rRNA from 1 species
UACAGAGGUCCCAAGCGUUACUGAGAAUCACUGGGUUUAAAGGGUGCGUAGGUGGUCUGUUAAGUCUGUUGUGAAAUCCCCGGGCUCAACCCGGGAAUAGCUUCGGAUACUGGCAGACUUGAGGCCAGUAGAGGUCACUAGAACAGACGGUGGAGCGGUGAAAUGCGUAGAUAUCGUCUGGAAUGCCUGUGGUGAAGACGGGUGACUGGGCUGGUUCUGACACUGAGGCACGAAAGCGUGGGGAGCGAAUGGG